rnacentral:rRNA from 1 species
GACGAACGCUGGCGGCGUGCUUAACACAUGCAAGUCGAACGGAAAGGCCCCUUUGGGGGUCCUCGAGUGGCGAACGGGUGAGUAACACGUGAGUAACCUGCCCUUGACUUCGGGAUAACUUCAGGAAACUGGGGCUAAUACCGGAUAGGAAUCCUUGCUGCAUGGUGGGGGUUGGAAAGCUUCGGCGGUUUUGGAUGGACUCACGGCUUAUCAGCUUGUUGGUGGGGUAGUGGCUUACCAAGGCUUUGACGGGUAGCCGGCCUGAGAGGGCGACCGGCCACAUUGGGACUGAGAUACGGCCCAGACUCCUACGGGAGGCAGCAGUGGGGAAUAUUGCACAAUGGGCGGAAGCCUGAUGCAGCAACGCCGCGUGCGGGAUGACGGCCUUCGGGUUGUAAACCGCUUUCAGCAGGGGCGAAGCUUGUGGUGACGGUACCUGCAGAAGAAGCACCGGCUAACUACGU